AUGGCGGCAGGGCAGGAGGCGGCCGGGGCCGGCAGCGCCGUGGUGGCGGCCGGGGCAGGUGACCAGCAAUGGCAGCAUAGGGAGGGACCCGCCGGCGGAGACCCAGCCCCAGAACCCACCACAGCAGCCAGCUCCCAACGCCUGGCAGGUCAUCAGAGGCGUGCUGUUCGGGAUCUUCAUCAUCUGGGCCAUCAGCAGCUGGUUCCACCGAGGGCCGGCCCCUCAGGACCAGACGGGCCCCGGAGGAGCCCCGCGCGGCGCCAGCCGCAACCUGUUCCCCAAAGACACUUUAAUGAACCUACACGUGUACAUCUCAGAGCACGAGCACUUUACAGACUUCAAGGCCACGUCUGCGCUCUUCUGGGAGCAGCACGACCUCGUGUAUGGCGACUGGAGAGCGGCGACAACUUUGCCGGGCUCGACAUCCCCCAGAGCGUCCAGCAGAACGGCUCCAUCUACAUCCCCGUUUAUUUCGCCAAGAGUGGUUUCCACCCCGACCCUCGAAGGAAGGCCCUGUACCGCCGGCUCGCCACGGUCCACAUGUCCCGGAUGAUCAACAAAUACAAGCGCUGGCGAUUUCAGAAAAUCAAGAACCUGCUGACCCGGAAGCUGAUAGCGGACAGAAGCUGACCCGGAAAUGAUCAGGAGGGCCGAGGACUACGGGCCUGUGGAGGUGAUCUCGCACUGGCACCCCAACAUCACCAUCAACGUCGUGGAUGACCACACGCCGUGGGUGAAGGGCAGUGUGCCCCCUCCCCUAGACCAGUACGCGAAGUUCGACGCUGUGAGCGGUGACUCCUACCCCAUCAUCUACGUCAACGACUACUGGAACCUGCAGAAGGACUACUACCCCAUCAGUGAGAGUCUGGCCAGCCUGCCACUCCGCAUCUCCUUCUGCCCACUCUCACUGUGGCGCUGGCAGCUCUAUGCUGCCCAGAGCACCAAAUCGCCCUGGAAUUUCCUGGGCGACGAACUGCACGGACAGUCAGACGAGGAGCAGGACUCCGUGGAGGUGGCCCUCCUGGAGAUCAACCCCUACCUGCUGGCACUCACCAUCAUCGUGUCCAUCAUCCACGGUGUCUUUGAGCUCCUGGCCUUCAAGAACGACAUCCAGUUCUGGAACAGCCGGCAGUCGCUGGAGGGCCUGUCCGUGCGCUCCGUCUUCUUUGGGGUCUUCCAGUCUUUUGUGGUUCUACUCUACAUUCUGGACAACGAGACCAGCUUCGUGGUCCAGGUCAGCGUCUUCAUCGGGGUCCUCAUCGACCUCUGGAAGAUCACCAAGGUCAUGGUUGUCCAGCUGGACCGGGAGCACAGGGUGGCAGGAGUCCUUCCCCGCCCAACCUUCAAGGACAAGUCCACGUAUAUUGAGUCUUCCACCAAAGUAUACGACGAUAUGGCGUUCGGGUACCUGUCCUGGAUCCUCUUCCCCCUCCUGGGCUGCUACGCGGUCUACAGCCUCCUGUACCUGGAGCACAAGGGCUGGUACUCCUGGGAGCUCAGCAAGCUCUACGGCUUCCUGCUGACCUUCGGCUUCAUCACCAUGACACCCCAGCUCUUCAUCAACUACAAGCUGAAGUCCGUGGCGCACCUGCCCUGGAGCAUGCUCACUUGCAAGGCCCUCAACGCUUUCAUAGACGACCUCUUCGCCUUUGUCAUCAAGAUGCCCGUCAUGUACCGGAUCGGCUGCCUGCGAGAUGAUGUGGUCUUCUUCAUCUACCUCUACCAACAGCGACCCCACGCGGGUGAACGAGUUCCGCAUGAGCGGAGAGGACCCGACCACAGCCGCCCCCGUGGCCAAGGCUCCCACGGCAGCAGGGGUCCUCACGCCUGUGACCACCACCACAGCCACCGCCGCCAGGGAGGAGGCUCCGGCGUCCCUGUCUGCCAAUCCCACCGAGGGGACCACCUCUGUCAGCAAGCCCAGGAAGCCCCUCCAAAGCCAGCAGAUGACAAGAAAAAGGAUUAG